ensembl:rRNA 5S_rRNA 5S ribosomal RNA
UUUAGCAGCCAUAUCACCCUGCAACUCACAACUGGCAACCCACUGAAGCUAAGCAGGUGUGAGCCUGGUCAGUACCUGGAUGGGAGACCGCCUGGGAAAAACUAAGGCUGCUGCUGGAA